UACGGGAGGCAGCAGUAAGGAAUAUUGCGCAAUGGGCGACAGCCUGACGCAGCGACGCCGCGUGGGGGAUGAAGGUCUUCGGAUUGUAAACCCCUUUCGGCAGGGAAGAUGGAACGGGUAACCGUUCGGACGGUACCUGCAGAAGCAGCCACGGCUAACUUCGUGCCAGCAGCCGCGGUAAUACGAAGGUGGCAAGCGUUGUUCGGAUUUACUGGGCGUACAGGGAGCGUAGGCGGUUGGGUAAGCCCUCCGUGAAAUCUCCGGGCCUAACCCGGAAAGUGCGGAGGGGACUGCUCGGCUAGAGGAUGGGAGAGGAGCGCGGAAUUCCCGGUGUAGCGGUGAAAUGCGUAGAGAUCGGGAGGAAGGCCGGUGGCGAAGGCGGCGCUCUGGAACAUUUCUGACGCUGAGGCUCGAAAGCGUGGGGAGCAAACAGGAUUAGAUACCCUGGUAGUCCACGCCUUAAACGAUGGAUACUAAGUGUCGGCGGGUUACCGCCGGUGCCGCAGCUAACGCAUUAAGUUUCCGCCUG
rnacentral:rRNA from 1 species